GACGAACGCUGGCGGCGUGCUUAACACAUGCAAGUCGAACGGGCCUGUCUUCUUUUUUGGGGGUGGGUUGAGUGGCGAACGGGUGAGUAUCACGUGAGUAACCUGCCCUUCGGUCCUGGAUAACCGCUUGAAAGGGCGGCUAAUACGGGGUGGUCCGGUUGGUCCGCAUGGGCUGGUCGGGAUAGAUUCACUGUUUUUGGUGUUUCGGCGGGGGAUGGGCUCGCGGCCUAUCAGCUUGUUGGUGGGGUGAUGGCCUACCAAGGCGGUGACGGGUAGCCGGCCUGAGAGGGUGGGCGGCCACACUGGGACUGAGAUACGGCCCAGACUCCUGCGGGAGGCAGCAGUGGGGGGUAGUGCACAAUGGGCGGAAGCCUGAUGCAGCGACGUCGCGUGAGGGAGGGAGGCCUUCGGGUUGUGAACCUCUGUUUCCGGUGGUGAAGGCCCUGUCCGUGUGGUGGGGUUGACGGUAGCCGGGGAUGAAGCGCCGGCUAACUACGUG
rnacentral:rRNA from 1 species